rnacentral:rRNA from 1 species
UACGGAGGGUGCAAGCGUUAUCCGGAUUUACUGGGUUUAAAGGGUGCGUAGGUGGGUCUGUAAGUCAGUGGUGAAAUCUCCGAGCUUAACUCGGAAAGGUCAACUGAUACUGUGCGGCUAGAGUGCGGAAGGGGCAACUGGAAUUCUUGGUGUAGCGGUGAAAUGCGUAGAUAUCAAGAGGAACACCUGCGGCGAAGGCGGGUUGCUGGGCCGACACUGACGCUGAGGCGCGAAAGCCAGGGGAGCGAACGGG